CUGGCUCAGGAUGAACGCUAGCGGCAGGCCUAAUACAUGCAAGUCGAGGGGCAGCGCAGUGUAGCAAUACAUGGGCGGCGACCGGCAAACGGGUGCGGAACACGUACGCAACCUUCCUUCAAGA
rnacentral:rRNA from 1 species